GACGAACGCUGGCGGCGUGCUUAACACAUGCAAGUCGAACGGAAAGGCCCUGCUUUUGUGGGGUGCUCGAGUGGCGAACGGGUGAGUAACACGUGAGUAACCUGCCCUUGACUUUGGGAUAACUUCAGGAAACUGGGGCUAAUACCGGAUAGGAGCUCCUGCUGCAUGGUGGGGGUUGGAAAGUUUCGGCGGUUGGGGAUGGACUCGCGGCUUAUCAGCUUGUUGGUGGGGUAGUGGCUUACCAAGGCUUUGACGGGUAGCCGGCCUGAGAGGGUGACCGGCCACAUUGGGACUGAGAUACGGCCCAGACUCCCACGGGAGGCAGCAGUGGGGAAUAUUGCACAAUGGGCGGAAGCCUGAUGCAGCAACGCCGCGUGCGGGAUGAUGGCCUUCGGGUUGUAAACCGCUUUCGCCUGUGACGAAGCGUGAGUGACGGUAAUGGGUAAAGAAGCACCGGCUAACUACGU
rnacentral:rRNA from 1 species